rnacentral:lncRNA from 1 species
UUUUUCCCGGUUUGAUGUUGUCGCUAUUUGUCUCCAAUUUGUCUCUCACAAUGAUUCCUCCCGUUCCUACCUUCAAAUUAUCUCUCUUUUGUUUUUGCUCUAUCCGAACCAUCGCUUAAUCAAACAUCGCGUUGUCGUCUUGUUUUUUUAAGGAGCAUACCAUGCAUUCUCACCGUUCGGUGAAAUGCCUAACUAACUCUACUUGUUGUUACUAGCUUUUAUUUGUAUGGAAGUUUUAGAUUUUCGUGGUAGAUGACUAGUGCUGCUGUGGAUGCUUGCUCGUACUUGGAUUCAGCAAUAAUCUAUAACAAAUAUGAAUCCUUGGUAUAUUUGGUGGAAUAAAUUCUGAAACCAUUUGUCCUGAAACUAGAGUUGUAUGUGUUCAUCUUUUCGAUUUGUUGGGGAUUUAAGACAUUGAUGGUUUAAUUAUUGGAGCUCCAAGUACUAAUUCCUAAGUUGUGAGUAUGUUCUAACUGGUUGUCAACACGUAACAGCUUUAAUCCCUAGUGAUGCCUAACUCUGCUUAGCAUGCUUCAAUCUCUGCUAGCAAAAGUUAAUUGAAUGAUUCUCUCUGUAAUGCUAGUAAUCAGUGUUUCUGCUUUCUGAUCCUAAUUACAAGAAUGCCGCUUCACACCACACCGAUUCCUGCUGGAGCACCAAUAGCUCCCAGUUCCCCAUGGAAGUCGGGUAUUGGUGCUGUACAUUGGGCUUUUAGUAAGGAGAGAAGAGAAGAUGGUAUAGUGAGGAGAGAAGAAGAAAGAAAUGGGGACAAGUGGCUUCACUCCAAGCCACCUUUUUAAUCCUUCUAUUCUUUUCUUUACUGUCGUGUCCCAUGUUUUUCUCUCUUCCUUCAUGUCCAAAAUUUUCCUCUUGUUUCUCUUCUCCUGUUUCUUUCUAUUUUUCCCUUUUUCUCCUCUUCUAUGUAUCCAUACAGCAC